GAUGAACGCUAGCGGCAGGCUUAAUACAUGCAAGUCGAGGGGCAGCAUGAUUGUAGCAAUACAAUUGAUGGCGACCGGCAAACGGGUGCGGAACACGUACACAACCUUCCAAUAAGUGGGGGAUAGCCCAGAGAAAUUUGGAUUAAUACCCCGUAACAUAGCGAUGUGGCAUCACAUUGCUAUUAUAGAUUUUUCGCUUGUUGAUGGGUGUGCGGCUGAUUAGAUAGUUGGCGGGGUAACGGCCCACCAAGUCUACGAUCAGUAGCUGAUGUGAGAGCAUGAUCAGCCAAACGGGCACUGAGACACGGGCCCGACUCCUACGGGAGGCAGCAGUAAGGAAUAUUGGACAAUGGACGCAAGUCUGAUCCAGCCAUGCCGCGUGAAGGAUUAAGGUCCUCUGGAUUGUAAACUUCUUUUAUAAGGGACGAAAAAAGGCUUUUCUAGGUCGUCUGACGGUACCUUAUGAAUAAGCACCGGCUAACUCCGUGCCAGCAGCCGCGGUAACAC
rnacentral:rRNA from 1 species